rnacentral:rRNA from 1 species
AACGAACGCUGGCGGCAGGCUUAACACAUGCAAGUCGAACGCAUCGCAAGAUGAGUGGCAGACGGGUGAGUAACGCGUGGGAACAUACCCUUUUCUACGGAAUAGCUCUGGGAAACUGGAAUUAAUACCGUAUACGCCCUACGGGGGAAAGAUUUAUCGGGGAAGGAUUGGCCCGCGUUGGAUUAGCUAGUUGGUGGGGUAAAGGCCUACCAAGGCGACGAUCCAUAGCUGGUCUGAGAGGAUGAUCAGCCACAUUGGGACUGAGACACGGCCCAAACUCCUACGGGAGGCAGCAGUGGGGAAUAUUGGACAAUGGGCGCAAGCCUGAUCCAGCCAUGCCGCGUGAGUGAUGAAGGCCUUAGGGUUGUAAAGCUCUUUCACCGAUGAAGAUAAUGACGGUAGUCGGAGAAGAAGCCCCACUAACUUCGUGCCAGCCGCCGCCGUAAAAC